rnacentral:rRNA from 1 species
GGACGAACCUCUGGUGUACCGGUUGUGACGCCAGUCGCAUCGCCGGGUAGCUAUGUUCGGAAGGGAUAACCGCUGAAAGCAUCUAAGCGGGAAGCCUACCUCAAGAUAAGAUUUCCCUAGGAAUUUAUUCCUCUAAAGAGCCGUUCGAGACUAGGACGUUGAUAGGUUGGGUGUGGAAGCACGGUGACGUGUGAAGCUGACCAAUACUAAUUGCUCGUGAGGCUUGACUAU